AAUGAACGCUGGCGGCAGGCCUAACACAUGCAAGUCGAACGGAUCCUUCGGGAUUAGUGGCGGACGGGUGAGUAACGCGUGGGAACAUACCCUUUGGUACGGAAUAGCCUCGGGAAACUGGGAGUAAUACCGUAUGUGGUCGAGAGACGAAAGAUAUUAUCGGCAAAGGAUUGGCCCGCGUUGGAUUAGGUAGUUGGUGGGGUAAUGGCCUACCAAGCCGACGAUCCAUAGCUGGUUUGAGAGGAUGAUCAGCCACACUGGAACUGAGAAACGGCCCAGACUCCUACGGGAGGCAGCAGUGGGGAAUCUUAGACAAUGGGGGAAACCCUGAUCUAGCCAUGCCGCGUGAUCGAUGAAGGCCUUAGGGUUGUAAAGAUCUUUCAGGUGGGAAGAUAAUGACUGUACCACCAGAAGAAGCCCCGGCUAACUCCGUGCCAGCAGCCGCCGUAA
rnacentral:rRNA from 1 species